rnacentral:sRNA from 1 species
CGUUUGUUGACCAAAACGUCCCCCGACCGAGCCGAAGAAUAAAAACAAAGACGCCUUCUAUUUUUUAAUCAUCUCCCUAUUUCCCAAAUUAUAAAAUUAUAAAGAAAUUGUUUUUCCUGAAAGAUUAAAUUGAAUCGUAUUACGCUUUCCAAGUAAAUCAUGCCACCAAAAUCAAGAAAGACCAAGGCUUCACAACAACUUCGAAAAGGAGCUAGUGGUGCUGCCAACCAGAAUGACUUACUUAUUAUCCAGGCUCUUAUACUUAGAUCUCAAUAAACCUUCGAACCUGAUUGAGAUUACUACCUAGAACAGCUGGGAUUUCGAAUCAAUUCGCAAGCUGUCCAGACUGAUUUGUCUAAGGUGUCUAACGCCCUCGAAAAGGCGGUAACAUGUGGAUUUAUUCAGAUCAUAAACGAAGGCUUUUACCUCUUUCCCAUAACCGUAACUGAAUCUAUAAAAACUGAAAUAUUUAAUGAUAGCUUGCGUCAAGAUAUUGCCAGGACCGUGAUGGAGAUAUAGGAGAUCGAGAAGUCGUGGCCUACUUCUGGAAUGUUUGAUUCCGCGUCUUGUAGCCCUGGUUGGCAGCUGGUUCCCUGGCUAGGAAAAUAAACAGGCAAAAAGAACGCGCGGUGCUGGCAACUCAGUUGCGAGGCCCGGCAUCCUCGUCGCCAACCAUCUUGAGUCGAAGAGAGGAGGAAAAACUAUCCCCGGGAGCUUCGUGAGUGCGGCGAGUUUUGAACGUCUGAGUGACAAACCACAAAUGAAUUUAUCCAUACCAGAUUGCUUUGCAAUCCUGUUUGCCGAAUUCCUUGGCUUUUGGAGGCACUGGAGAUCGCGCCCACAGGAGACUACGAUCCCGCUAGGUCCAAACGAAUCCGGCGCAAGCUCCCGAACACCGGCACCACUAUUGCGGGCCUUACGAUCCGUGAUGGCGUCAUCAUUGCCACCCACAUCAGGGAGACAAGCGGCUCCAUGAUUCGCACAGGUCGUUCAAAGAAAAUAUUUCGCCUGCACGAUAACAUCUAUGCAGCUGGAGCUGGCACCGCCGAUGAUAUAUGUAGAUGCCGUUGCACGUCUUCUUCGGGCACAGCUUAACCAUAUUCGGAUGACAAUGUGCACAGAGGUGCCAGUUGUGCGCGCUAAACAUAUAAUUAAAAAGCUGAUUUACCGCUUUAAGCACGUAAACAGGAUGAACUGGAUAAUCGCCGCCGUAGACAGGGGUCGAGCCUCGAAAGCCUCGCUAGAAAGAAAACCUGGACGAAAAGGAAGCGACGCGCUUGAUUAUUGAUGCGGUUCGCGCUGCCAUCUAGACCGAUCGUGGCACACAGAGACAAGACCGUCCGGGUCUACCGUCCACUUCUGCGUCAUCCGCAAUGACUACGUGGUAAGGCAGGGAUACAACGUCGUCGUCGAGAUUGCCCACCGUAUACGGUACAAGAGGGUGUCUGGGAAGUAGUUCACAAACAAUGGACAAAAAAAA